AUGUAUCCCAUUGCUUGGGCUGCUGUUGAACUAGAAAAUAAGGACUCCUGGUUCUGGUUUAUGGCAUUGAUAAAUAAAGACUUGGAGAUUGCAAAUCAAGGUGAAGGAUGGGUGUUCAUAUCAGAUCAGCAGAAAGGUCUUAUCAAUGCUAUCUCCAAGGUUGUACCAAAUGCUGAACAUAGAAAUUGUGCUAGGCAUAUUUAUGCUAACUGGAAGAAAAAGCAUAGGGAUCAAUCAUACCAGAAGAGGUUUUUGGCUUGUGCAAAAUCCUCAAACAGAGUACAAUUCAAUUUAAACAGAGCAAAGCUUGCUCAGCUCACACCAGAUGGAGCAAGAGAUAUGAUGCAGUCAGAGCCAAAGCAUUAG
rnacentral:rRNA from 1 species